GACGAACGCUGGCGGCGUGCCUAAUACAUGCAAGUUGAGCGAUGAAGAUUGGUGCUUGCACCAAUUUGAAGAGCAGCGAACGGGUGAGUAACGCGUGGGGAAUCUGCCUUUGAGCGGGGGACAACAUUUGGAAACGAAUGCUAAUACCGCAUAACAACUUUAAACAUAAGUUUUAAGUUUGAAAGAUGCAAUUGCAUCACUCAAAGAUGAUCCCGCGUUGUAUUAGCUAGUUGGUGAGGUAAAGGCUCACCAAGGCGAUGAUACAUAGCCUACCUGAGAGGGUGAUCGGCCCAAUUGGGACUGGGACCAGGCCCAAACCCCUACGGGAGGCAGCAGUAGGGAAUCUUCGGAAAUGGACGAAAGUCUGAACGAGCAACGCCGCGUGAGUGAAGAAGGGUUUCGGAUCGUAAAACUCUGUUGGUAGAGAAGAACGUUGGUGAGAGUGGAAAGCUCAUCAAGUGACGGUAACUACACAGAAAGGGACGGCUAACUACGUG
rnacentral:rRNA from 1 species